AUGGACAAGUCGAACGGUUUCGAUUAGAGAGCUUAGCUCUGCUUGGCGGCGAGUGGCGGACGGGUGAGUAAUAUAUCGGAACGUGCCCAGUAUCGGGGGAUAACUACUCGAAAGAGGGGCUAAUACCGCAAACGCCCUACGGGGGAAAGGGGGGGAUCGCAAGACCUCUCACUAUUGGAGCGGCCGAUGUCGGAUUAUCUAGUUGGGGGGGUAAAGGCUCACCAAGGCAACGAUCCGUAUCUGGUUUGAGAGGACGACCACCCGCACUGGGACUGAGACACGGCCCAAACUCCUACGGGACGCAGCACUGGGGAAUUUUGGACGAUGGGGGAAACCCUGAUCCGGCCAUCCCGCGUGCAUGAUGAACGCCUUCGGGUUGUAAAGUACUUUUGGCAGAAAACAAUGGGGAUCCCCUAAAACAAGAGACUGCUGACGGGAUCUGCAAAAGAAGCACCGGCUAACUACGUGCCAGCACCGCGAUAAUAAACA
rnacentral:rRNA from 1 species